rnacentral:rRNA from 1 species
GAUGAACGCUGGCGGCGUGCCUAAUACAUGCAAGUCGAGCGAACAGACGAGGAGCUUGCUCCUCUGACGUUAGCGGCGGACGGGUGAGUAACACGUGGAUAACCUACCUAUAAGACUGGGAUAACUUCGGGAAACCGGAGCUAAUACCGGAUAAUAUAUUGAACCGCAUGGUUCAAUAGUGAAAGACGGUUUUGCUGUCACUUGUAGAUGGAUCCGCGCCGCAUUAGCUAGUUGGUAAGGUAACGGCUUACCAAGGCGACGAUGCGUAGCCGACCUGAGAGGGUGAUCGGCCACACUGGAACUGAGACACGGUCCAGACUCCUACGGGAGGCAGCAGUAGGGAAUCUUCCGCAAUGGGCGAAAGCCUGGCGGAGCAACGCCGCGUGAGUGAUGAAGGUCUUCGGAUCGUAAAACUCUGUUAUUAGGGAAGAACAAAUGUGUAAGUAACUAUGCACGUCUUGACGGUACCUAAUCAGAAAGCCACGGCUAACUACGUG